rnacentral:lncRNA from 1 species
CUGCCCCUGCAUGAAGCUUCAUUUCCCUGAGGUUCGCAUUGGAGAUGUACUGCAUGACCACAACUGAAAAUUUGAAUGCUAGAAGCUGAGAAAUCUUUUGUGAGGGGACAGUUACAAAUGCAACAUAGGAGGCUCCGCGGUGCAAAACCAUGAGAAGCUCCUCUCUUAAGUAAGCUCAAGGAGGAAUAUGUAUCAUCUUCAAUCAAUGAUUUAGCAGUGUCCUGUAACAGAGGUGCAAAUCCAUGAGAAGCUCCUCUCUUAAGUAAGCUCAAGGAGGAAUAUGUAUCAUCUUCAAUCAAUGAUUUAGCAGUGUCCUGUAACAGAGUAGGGAAGUUGUCACUAUGAAAAUACUGCAUGACAGCUUUGACGAAGAAUCAGAUUCGAACUCACAACCUCUCUGUUGGAAAUGGGGGUUGCUUACCAAAAUGGCAAGUGGCAAGUUUAAUGC